GUGGGGAAUUUUGGACAAUGGGGGCAACCCUGAUCCAGCGACGCCGCGUGGAGGACGAAGGUCUUCGGAUUGUAAACUCCUUUUAGGGGGGAUGAAUGAACGGGUGAAUAGCCCGGAAUGACAGUACUCCCUGAAUAAGCCACGGCUAACUACGUGCCAGCAGCCGCGGUAAUACGUAGGUGGCAAGCGAUACUCGGAAUCACUAGGCGUAAAGCGCAGGUAGGCGGUUGGGUAAGUCUUUUGUGAAAGCUCCUGGCUUAACUGGGAGAGGUCAAAGGAAACUACCUGGCUAGAGUGUGGCAGAGGAAGCUGGAAUUCCCGGUGUAGCGGUGAAAUGCGUAGAUAUCGGGAGGAAUACCUAUGGCGAAAGCAGGCUUCUGGGCCAUCACUGACGCUGAUCUGCGAAAGCUAGGGGAGCAAACAGGAUUAGAUACCCCGGUAGUCC
rnacentral:rRNA from 1 species